UCUAGUAAAUUAAAAGUCACUCCUUAUUCUUACUAGUUAAAUCCCUAAAUUCAGCCCCUUUUCUUAAUUAUUUGAAAUUGGCGCUUAAAAUCCUUAGUAAUCUUAUUCUAAUUGAACUAGUAUCUUCUCAAAUCCGCUAAACACCCACGCACACUUCCACGUCUCUAAACACUCGAACUAGCGUCUUCCAAUUCAGUAAAACGAGUUGAAAUCACACCUGUCUGCUUGUAAGCUUCCGGGAAGAAUUUUUCCUAUACCUAAUGCAUCUGUACAAAGAGGUCUUCUUGUGAGUGUUUAAUUUAUCGUGAGUGUUCAUCAAUACCUUCGUCGCACCAGUAACUCUUAUCUGUUCUGAUAAAGUGAUGAAGAUGUGGAAACAUUAACAGUGGGAGAAGCAUCUAUGCUUUUGUUCCUCCUUUUUGAUAAGAUUCAUUGUAAAGAAUAAAGAGGUGGGUUUGAAUUGCACGCCAAAGGAAUGAAGAUAGUAUUGAAGCCAAGGAGGUAAAGAUGGAAAGAGAACGAUAAUAAAUGGAGACAAUGGUUGUGAUUUUCCUUCGGAUCAACCUUAAUAUACUGAGAAUUAAUGUUAUUAGACAUGUAUUAUCUCAUUUGUAAACACGUUCUUCAUAUUUGAGAUUAAUGGUACUGUUUGAGACAUUAAUACAAGAUUUAUAUAUAAAUAUGUGUUACCAAUGAUUUGUUACAA